UCAGGGUUCAGAUCUGCAGAGUACUUUGUGUGGACUCAUUUGGCGAGACCAUAACCAGGAGCAGAUCCAAAAUGUCUUCAAACGAUUUUUGUUUCACUAUUCCAAAGCACAGAAUUCUCUUGGUUCUGUUGAGAGAGAGUCACACUUCGUCCACCCGCUAAUGCGCCUCUCCCCCAAGUUUACCCAGCGCAGGAAGAAACAGCAGGCAUCCUCGAGAAGCUGAAGGGGACAUGCAGUCACUCAGACAGACUCGUUUGAGAUGUCCUCUGUUCUUUCCUUGGAUGCUCUGCAAGAUGGGGAACAAGGUCUGGGCUGAUCCCAACUCACAGACCACUCGAGCUGUAAUUGAGUCAAUGUUUGUAAAUAAAUUGAAUCUCAUGUUUU